UACGGAGGGAGCUAGCGUUGUUCGGAAUUACUGGGCGUAAAGCGCACGUAGGCGGCUUUAUAAGUCGGGGGUGAAAGCCUGUGGCUCAACCACAGAAUUGCCUUCGAUACUGUAGAGCUUGAGACCGGAAGAGGUAAGUGGAACUGCGAGUGUAGAGGUGAAAUUCGUAGAUAUUCGCAAGAACACCAGUGGCGAAGGCGGCUUACUGGUCCGGUUCUGACGCUGAGGCGCGAAAGCGUGGGGAGCAAACAGG
rnacentral:rRNA from 1 species